GUGACAAUGCGGCUUAAUAAAUCAAACAUAUGAUUAAGUGAUACACGGUAUACAUAGGUUAGGAAUAUGAUAUUCUUCAUUCAUGGUUUCUACAAGCUUAAUUGCUUCCCCUCUUGAAUAGUAUAGCAAGCCAUGAUCUAAUAGAUGCUUUUCACUCGUACUGUUUUAUGAGAUUUUGCUAUCUUUUAUACAUGAUCAAAUAAAUAGAGCAUAUACAUAUCAUCUUUGAAUGUCGUUGCAUGUAUAUGCAUGUAUAUUAGUAAUCCUCUCUUCGCUCAGUCCCCUACAUGUAAUCAUAUGAUCCUCAUGAUCUUCAAAUACCUGAGCACAUCAUCCAUGCAUCAUAAAAAAAAGUAGUAAAUUAGAUAUAAAAAUUCAUCCUAAUACACAAACUUGUGGUUUCAGUACGUAUUUUUAUGAAAAAAUUGAACUGCGCAGGAAGGCAAUGAUAUUCCAUAAUGUAUUACCAUACUAAAUUGCUUAUGAUGGAUUAAUACUCCAUGGGAUAUAGAUAGAAAGAUUUAAAUGAAAGGACAAAAAGGAGCAUAAAGCCUUUUCAUUAGCAUUGAUACAAACAGUUGUUGGGCAGCCUCCUUGAACUGGAAAUGGACAAAGAAAGGACGAACCUUCAACUUGAGAAUAAAUUCACAAGGAGGAGCAUAGAUAUCCCCACACCGCAAGAGAGAUUGCAUGGCAUCCAUUCAGUAUCCACCAACAGUAAUAAGAUCAUAUUACUGUUCUGAACUGCUAGAAGAUAUAGCUGAAGGAAAAUUGCAGGAACGCUCAUGUGCUGUGGUCGAUACCUGAUGUGUGCGUAGCUGCAGGCAGUUCAUGUUCGAGCUGUUGCCGCAGAUCUUUGCUUUCGCCACAUUAGGAAGGGAGACAGGGGCGGCUAGACGUGGGCUGACGGCCGAGCGGCGGGCGGAGACCCGCGCAUGAGAGUCUAGCGGCUUGAGGUGGCCGCCAUGGCGGGCGUGGGGCGGAGGCGGCGGCGGCCGAGGGGUGGAGGGCUGGAGGCGACGACGAGCGAGGAGGAGCGGUGGCGGCAUCGAAAACAUCCGCGAGGCGAGCGGCAGCCGAGGGUCACGUGGUUUGGAGAAGUUGUUUUCUAGUCUGCGUGAGGGAGUUGUUUUUCUCGUCAACGAAGCGCCUCGACGUGAUUAGUGGGAAUCGAUUAGUGGCGAUUAACUUUCGUUUUCAUUGGUGCUCAAAAUUUAAACCAUUAGAUCGUGAUUAGACGGUUAAUAUGUUGAGUUGGAUCUGCCUUCUCGUACAUUUUUAAUGAUAGUAGAUACAAGCAUAGUUUGUACGCGACACCGUUUGGGAUGUUCGAGUAAAACAAAAAACUAUCAUUUAAUAUGCUUUUAGUGAUAGUAUAAGUAUAUAUGUCCAAAGUUGUAUUUUAUUUCCAUGCUCAAAUGCUCC
rnacentral:lncRNA from 1 species